GAAACAGGGCGUCAUAGCUUCUCGCUUAGUGCAUAACGACUCAAGAGUCCUUAAAGCGCCUGACGGCAUACCACCUGGCCACAAAAACCGCUACUCCAGAAAGGCUUAGUACGUGCCCAAACGCCACUUUUGAGCACGUUCAAGACCCCAGCUUCUAGCAAGAAUUUUGUCUUCAGGUGUUGUAUUUUGGAAGGCUGUGAUCUGCAUGUUCUAGAAACCGCAAAAUCGUCGACUGUAUCUUGAGACUUGCUGGCACCAAAGAGUUGACAAUGGCGCUUUCUUGUCCGCCAGCAAGCACUGAAGAGUAGCUAAUGGGAAUUCCAUAUCAAUGUCAUUCAUCAUUCUUGUUGGCAUUGACACGAGUGUGAGGAUGGGACCGCCUGUUAUGUACAGGUUGUUUGCUUUGGGAACCUUUCCUACUCGCCCACGCCAAACCCUCUCUGGGUACUCACAUUGUAGCUUCGGGCUGCAGGGGGUGAUUAGAAAAGGCUUUGUGGAAGGAAAUGGAGAACCCACCUCCGCCACCAGGACCUUCAGGGCUGCCUCCCGGAAAGGGAGAAGGAGAAGGCAGCAGCUCCUCCAGCAAUCAGAGGCAGCCAGUGCUGGAUCUAUUUGGCGGAGAUAUGAUGCCUGCAGCAAUCGUUCUCGUCCUGUUGCUCCUCAAUCUCAUGAGCGGUGCGCCAUCUUUGGAGGGUCAGACCUUGGUCCUUGUUCAACGGAGCAAUAGAGCUAAAUACAGCUGAAGGCUCCUUUGUGGCAGAAUGCAAACAGACAGCUGAGUGUUUCUGUGUGUGUGCAGCAUCAAUGCAGCGGUGCACCUGCUGACUGGUGGUUGUCCAAGCAUCCCCCGCAGCUUGCAACUGGAACAUGUAUAGAUUGAACAAUUCACAGAACGGCAAGUGCCAGAAUGAAACGAACCGUGGGAGCUACAGAUAUGCAAAUGUACAUAAGUUAAGAACACUUCUGUGCCUUGACAAAUUUAUCGCCCCACCAAUUGACAAGCUCAUGUGGCCUGCUGUGAAUUCACCCAUGGUAGGAGGGUAGUACGUCAGAAGGCAGAAUGCUUUGGUCUAAUUUUGGACGCAUGCGGGGUCAAUCGGGGACCUGUCUCCUGAACAACGAAUGAUAAGCAUUGCAUCCAUUUGAUGCUGUCCAAGGAGCUUAUUUUGAAUUGGGCUUCCAAUGUCUGCAGCUGCCAGCACCGUGGAGCGCAGUGGGUAAAAAUAAGGCAGAGAUUUCCGAGAGUCUCUAGAAACGUCCGAGGGUUGCUAGAUCAGCAAUAGAUUGCGUCGGUCUGCGAAAGAAUGACCAGGAUACUGUAGAGUAAAAUAUGCACGCAAUCCUGCGUACUCUAGUGCGCUGUGCGCAGGUCAUGUGCAGGUGCACCUGCCGGAGGUUCCAGCAACUUGCCAUUGCAAAUUGCAAGCUUGACUUUGAAAUUUCAUCCAUGAAACUUAGUUACUCACGUUCAUUGCAGGUGCUGCCGUGUUUGCUUGCAACUGCAUCCAACGAGUCAUGCUUUUACUUCCAUGCAUAUAGUGGAUCCCGGUAUAGCGAUUUAUGCAUCGAGGUGAUGAUAA
rnacentral:lncRNA from 1 species